UGGCUCAGAGUGAACGCUGGCGGCAGGCCUAACACAUGCAAGUCGAGCGGCAGCGCGUCCGACCACCCGAGGGUGGUCGGAUGGCGGCGAGCGGCGGACGGGUGAGGAAUGCAUCGGAAUCUGCCUCGUUGUGGGGGAUAACGUAGGGAAACUUACGCUAAUACCGCAUACGACCUACGGGUGAAAGUGGGGGACCUUCGGGCCUCACGCGAUGAGAUGAGCCGAUGCCGGAUUAGCUAGUUGGCGGGGUAAGGGCCCACCAAGGCGACGAUCCGUAGCUGGUCUGAGAGGAUGAUCAGCCACACUGGAACUGAGACACGGUCCAGACUCCUACGGGAGGCAGCAGUGGGGAAUAUUGGACAAUGGGGGCAACCCUGAUCCAGCCAUGCCGCGUGUGUGAAGAAGGCCUUCGGGUUGUAAAGCACUUUUGUUGGGGAAGAAACCGGCCGGGUUAAUACCCUGGUUGAAUGACGGUACCCAAAGAAUAAGCACCGGCUAACUUCGUG
rnacentral:rRNA from 1 species